rnacentral:rRNA from 1 species
UACGAAGGGGGCUAGCGUUGUUCGGAAUUACUGGGCGUAAAGCGCACGUAGGCGGACUAUUAAGUCAGGUGUGAAAUCCCCGGGCCUAACCUGGGAACUGCAUUUGUGACUGCAUAGCUAGAGUCCGUCAGAGGGGGGUGGAAUUCCACGUGUAGCAGUGAAAUGCGUAGAGAUGUGGAGGAACACCGAUGGCGAAGGCAGCCCCCUGGGAUGAGACUGACGCUCAUGUACGAAAGCGUGGGGAGCAAACAGG